GACGAACGCUGGCGGCGUGCUUAACACAUGCAAGUCGAACGGUAAGGCCCUUCGGGGUACACGAGUGGCGAACGGGUGAGUAACACGUGGGUGAUCUGCCCUGCACUUCGGGAUAAGCCUGGGAAACUGGGUCUAAUACCGGAUAUGACUCCUGGCUUCAUGGUUGGGGGUGGAAAGCUUUUGCGGUGUGGGAUGGGGCCGCGGCCUAUCAGCUUGUUGGUGGGGUAAUGGCCUACCAAGGCGACGACGGGUAGCCGGCCUGAGAGGGUGACCGGUCACACUGGGACUGAGAUACGGCCCAGACUCCUACGGGAGGCAGCAGUGGGGAAUAUUGCACAAUGGGCGCAAGCCUGAUGCAGCGACGCCGCGUGAGGGAUGACGGCCUUCGGGUUGUAAACCUCUUUCAGCUACGACGAAGCGCAAGUGACGGUAGUAGCAGAAGAAGGACCGGCCAACUACGUGCCAGCCGCCGCCGUAA
rnacentral:rRNA from 1 species